AGUGGGGAAAGGCUCGGCAUGUGAGGUAUAAUGCCGAGAUUUUCGACACAAUUACGGCACAAAUUUUAAUUCAAAACCAUCCGCGUAGUGGCGCAUAGUGCUUUGUCGUUAUUCUCGGCAUAUUUUCGGUAUUGUUGUUUUUUGACAUGCACGGUGAAAAUAGUGGCGUGGGUUCACGAAAACCCAAUUUUCAGUGAUUUUCCUCAAUUUUCCGGCAAUCUAUUCGCGUUGCCUCUGAAAGUGUUGAAAGGACUUUUGAAGGACAUCGUAUCCAUCCGGAACUAAAAUUUCACCCCAGCUAAACAAGGAAUCCGGAUGCAUCUUUUUUGCAAGAGACUGAAAACAUCCUUCAAAUCUAUCUGGUUUAGGGACUCUAAAUUUUCCUGGGAGAUGUAGCGUCGUCCGUUGACCGGAAGCCCGAUCUAAUACUUCCUCUUAGGACGAUACAAAAUAGAACAAUGCAGGAGGGAAGCUUCAAAGACGAUUUAGAUAUUCACAUCCUGUUACUCAAAAUUUCCCGUAUUCCACCCACCCUCAACGGAUUUUACAAGCAAAAUGUCUACUAUUGAAGCCCUGACAAUGAAAUGGACAACACGUCAAACGCUCUUGACCAUCACAAGCAUCCCAUGGCUGAGGAGAAAGGACUUUUUAUCCAUUUGGAAGCGUAGAAAUUGUUCAGGAAACAACCACAAGUGUUACCCCAAAGGAAGGAAACUUCGAAGCAGAACAUCAUCGAGUGAACACCUUGACGGAUCCCGCAGUGUUCCUCCCUCUUCAAGUACGUCUACAAAUGAAAUUCUAACGAGGGAAGAGACCGUCUCCAGAAAGCAGUUAAGGAAGAAUUAGGCGAAGGACAGCGUUGGUGAGAGAACAAUUAUUAUAUUUGUAAUUAAAAAAAAAUAUAUUUUAAAUAAAAAAGUAAAAAAAAUGAA